CUUAUACUCCGUCCGUACCAAAAUUCUUGUCUUAAAUUUAUUUAGAUAUGAAUGUAUCUAGUCAACUUUUAGUAUUUAGAUACAUCCAUUUUUAGACAAAGCUAAGACAAGAAUUAUGGGACGGAGGGAGUAUCUU
rnacentral:pre_miRNA from 1 species